rnacentral:rRNA from 1 species
GACGAACGCUGGCGGCGUGCUUAACACAUGCAAGUCGAACGGAAAGGCCCUGCUUUUGUGGGGUGCUCGAGUGGCGAACGGGUGAGUAACACGUGAGUAACCUGCCCUUGACUUUGGGAUAACUUCAGGAAACUGGGGCUAAUACCGGAUAGGAGCUCCUGCUGCAUGGUGGGGGUUGGAAAGUUUCGGCGGUUGGGGAUGGACUCGCGGCUUAUCAGCUUGUUGGUGGGGUAGUGGCUUACCAAGGCUUUGACGGGUAGCCGGCCUGAGAGGGUGACCGGCCACAUUGGGACUGAGAUACGGCCCAGACUCCUACGGGAGGCAGCAGUGGGGAAUAUCGCACAAUGGGCGGAAGCCUGAUGCAGCAACGCCGCGUGCGGGAUGACGGCCUUCGGGUGGUAAACCGCUUUCGCCUGUGACGAAGCGUGAGUGACGGUAAUGGGUAAAGAAGCACCGGCUAACUACGU